GGUAGGGUGUGGCCCUUCCGCCAUGGGCCUGGCCUGUGAGGUGGGACACUGCUUUUCUGACUUAGGGCACCCGGAGGGAAUUCCUGCUCCGACUUCUGGACACUCAGCCUGGGGCUCCAGGCAGCAGACUGUCCAGACCCAUCUGGGGCUAAAAUUCAUCUCACCUGAAGGGCAGGAAAGAUCUCUGACUCUCAGGCUGGGUUCAAAUGGGCUCUCACUAGCACCUCAUCAUCAUGAAACAUGGAAUGCACGUGGAAGAGGGUGGUGGGCCUCGGAAAGACGCCCUCACUCAGGCCCCCAUGGAAAGCAGUUACACGGGAGGACCCUCCUGAAACAGCCUGCAUUUUCUUCUAAGAUAUAGAAUGUCUUCCCAGCCUGGGUCUAUUUCAGGGUCUUUCAUUUUUCUGGUUUAAGGCCAUGCUUGCUGGCUUCAGUGUGACUGAGGAACCAACCCAUAGGACUCCUAGAAAUCAUAGUGAAAACUCAAACCUUUAUUUUGUAGCAGACUUCAGUUCUCACAGGCUAAGGGGGCAGAGGUCUUAAAGCAAAGGUUGCCUGAGUGAAGGGAGAGUUCCCCUCCAAUAAAGCCUAAAAGUAUCCCUGGACUCAACCAUCAGGAGGCUGGUGUUCGGCUCACAUCCCAACCAAGAAAUCCCCUCUUUGUGUCAGCCAUAUUAGGGGAACAGUUCUCAGCUCCCCAAAUGCCUACUGAAUCUUACAGCCAUCCAGAAAGACAGAUGGACACAGUCCCUUCCACAAGGGUCCCGGGGUCCUUUCCUGUCAGGUGCUAUGUAGGAACGGGCAGUGAUGCCCUUGAUGGGAACAUGGUCCUGGAGGUAGCCUACCUGUAUCCCGCACCCCCACCCAAGGCACUCAAGGUUUGGGACACACACCCUCUUUAUUCUGAGGCUAUGCAUCCGGGCCGGUGCAGGAUUCGCCACGGUGCAGCCUCCAGGUGCAAACAUCAGUGGCACUGGCGUCCCUAGACCUCACCAUGCCCUGGGUCACAGUUCAGAUCAGUGAAGGGUGAUUCAGAGGUAGGGCAGAUAGCCAGGCCAUAGGCAGCCCCCAGCCCACUUGUUGAGAUGUGCAGAGAGGGCUCAUGGCUUUCUGUGGUCCCAAGUGAAAUGUGGCAGAACUGAGGUCUCCAUUCAAGUCUUCUGCCACCCAGCCCAGAGCCUCCAGGAGACCCAGCCUCCUUUCUUGACAGAAGUAGGUGCUAAGGUGGACUGCACAGGGUCAUGGCACUCUCCGGGGACUUCAUCCUUGAUCUCAGCGAGCAGGAGUGCCACCUAACAGGAAAACAUGAUCUGAGCAAUAGCAUCCCCUCAUUCUUGACUCCUGGUUUUGGCUGUGUUUACGAGGCUACAUGAUUAUUUUGACUUCUGACAGGUAUCACUGAUUGUUUUUUCUUUUUUAGCCCAUUUUUAAAAGGUCAUUCAGUCAAAGGCACAGUGCUAGAAGAUGAACAGGAUGGAAGAGAAGUAGCGUCCCCUACGCCGUGCAUCAUACAUUGCCUAUGGGGGACACAGAAAGCAUGGGGUGGACCGCACGAUCGGCUUUCUCCCAGGGCUCAGGGAUGUCAUCCUAUGACCAGUGGACAGGCUGCUACACACUUUCAUUUGGAAAGCAAGUAUAUGAACUGAAUGCCUGCAAGGUGACCACAGGUCUGGUUGAAGGCUGUUCCUCUCACUCAGAGCCCAGGGUGGCUCCCUCCCCAGCCCACCCUCCAUGUGGAGGGAGUCGGCCACCUCCCAGUAUGGCUCAGACACUGCUGGGGUCAGGGGCAUCCAUUUCCGGGUCAGGGUGCCUGUUCUCUGGGUGUGUGGGUGAGAGAUGUCACUCCCCUGGCUUCACCUUGUAGGGUCCCAGUGUGGUGAGGACCCCAGGGCUUGAAGGCCAUGGCAGGAGGUUCUCCUGAGCAGCUAUACAUUGUCAGAUGUGGGGCUUGCUGUGGCUCCCACGUGAUUGGGAAUUGCUUGUGUGGGUGUGUUGGGUGCAUGCAUUGGGGUCUCAGUCACCCCCAGACCCUCACAAAUGACCCCUUCCCCAUCCAAAGCCUUUGAUGGAGCUUCUCUGGAAUCAUUUGCCAAAAUCCCAAGGCAGAAUCCAAGGGUCCAAGACCAUUUCCAUCAAGCACACAUUUUUCCUUUUCUGUAGGAACUUUUUUUUUAAACCAGCACCACACCAUGCUUCUGAAAGCCACAUUUCAUCUUUCCUGGAUCACUACAGUGAAGUAU
ensembl:lncRNA